CUUUCUUUGCUACCAGUUGACAUUUUGUUCUAAAAUACCACUGGGGAAUUUAGAUUGCCAGUGGAACUAGGUCAACUCAAUGAAAGCUAAUUUAUUGAAUGGCUAAUUGCCAAUUCACCAAAAGUUUCUUUGCUGAAAAUAAAUUUGCUGAAUCAUUAAAUAACUUACUAACCAAUGCACUGAAUACCAUCAACUGUGUUUUGGAUGACUGGCUGCAGACGUUGUGCUAUCAGAGCAAGAAGCACCUGGAGAGGAGACUCAAAAGUAAAGAAUUCUGAGACGCAAUGAAGAAACAAAAAUGAAGUGUUGGAGAUGAAACAAAAUGAACCCAGACGCUUGAAUGAAAUGCUAGGGUCAUGAGGAUAGACAGAGCACACUGAAUAAAGAGAACAAUACUUAGGGAAAAGAACA
rnacentral:lncRNA from 1 species